rnacentral:rRNA from 1 species
UCUUCGGGAAUGGAUUAGUGGCGAACGGGUGAGGAACACGUGAGGAAUCUGCCCAUCAUUUGGGAUAACACCGGGAAACCGGUGCUAAUACCGAAUACUCCGUCUUGGCGGCAUCGCUAAGCCGGGAAAGAAUUUCGAUGAUGGAUGAUCUCGCGGCCUAUCAGCUAGUUGGUGAGGUAACGGCUCACCAAGGCAACGACGGGUAGCCGGCCUGAGAGGGCGACCGGCCACACUGGGACUGAGACACGGCCCAGACUCCUACGGGAGGCAGCAGUAGGGAAUAUUGGGCAAUGGGCGCAAGCCUGACCCAGCGACGCCGCGUGAGGGAUGAAGGUCUUCGGAUUGUAAACCUCUUUCAGUAGGGAAGAAGCGAAAGUGACGGUACCUAAAGAAGAAGCACCGGCUAACUAUGUGCCAGCAGCCGCGGUAAUACAUAGGGUGCAAGCGUUGUCCGGAAUUAUUGGGCGUAAAGAGCUCGUAAGUGGUCGAUCACGUCGGAUGUGAAAAUCUGAGGCUUAACCUCAGACCUGCAUUCGAUACGGGUUGACUGGAGUGUGGUAGGGGAGACUGGAAUUCCUGGUGUACGGUGGAAUGCGCAGAUAUCAGGAGGAACACCGAUGCGAAGGCAGGUCUCUGGGCCAUUACUGACACUGAGGAGCGAAAGCGUGGGGAGCGAACAGGAUUAGAUACCCUGGUAGUCCACGCCGUAAACGGUGGGCGCUAGUUGUGGGAACCUUCCACGGUUUCUGCGACGCAGCUAACGCAUUAAGCGCCCCGCCUGGGGAGUACGGUCGCAAGACUAAAACUCAAAGAAAUUGACGGGGCCCCGCACAAGCAGCGGAGCAUGCGGCUUAAUUCGACGCAACGCGAAGAACCUUACCAAGGCUUGACAUAUACAGGAAUACGGCAGAGAUGUCGUAGCCGCAAGGUCUGUAUACAGGUGGUGCAUGGUUGUCGUCAGCUCGUGUCGUGAGAUGUUGGGUUAAGUCCCGCAACGAGCGCAACCCUCGUCCUGUGUUACCAGCAUUUAGUUGGGGACUCACAGGAGACUGCCGGGGUCAACUCGGAGGAAGGUGGGGAUGACGUCAAAUCAUCAUGCCCCUUAUGUCUUGGGCUGCACGCAUGCUACAAUGGCCGGUACAAAGUGCUGCGAAAUCGUAAGAUUUAGCGAAUCACAUAAAGCCGGUCUCAGUUCGGAUUGAGGUCUGCAACUCCACCUCAUGAAGUCG